rnacentral:piRNA from 1 species
UAGGUGACUUACACAGUGUCCUUGGU